GGAGAGGUGGCCGAGUGGCCGAAGGCGCAGCACUGGAAAUGCUGUAAACUCGCAAGGGUUUCGCGGGUUCGAAUCCCGCCCUCUCCG
rnacentral:tRNA from 1 species